rnacentral:lncRNA from 1 species
UUUUUUUUUUGAAUAUUUAUUAUUUUUGUUUAUUUUAGACGUUUCUUCUAAUCACUACUAAUCACUAUUUUCAUUUGAUAUUCUAUAAUAAGUAAUAUAACUAUAUAUUCCAAUUUGCAAAUUUAUGUAUAUUAUUUAAAUUAAAUAAAUAAAAAAAAGAAAUUAAAUAAAUAAAAAAAAAAUGCAAUUGAAUUUUAAAUAAAAGAAUUUCUUCC